AUCAGUGAGGAAAUCAAAUGAAGGAAAAAAAAAGAGAAAAAAUAAUAAAACUUGGCUCCACCCUUGAACUUGUGCAUCCCUUAAUCUCUGGCUAUCGAGCUUGGACAAUGGGCACAAGCUGGCACAGGGGGUCGAUCCAGAACUUUGGUGAGAAAGGCCAGAAAAAGGGGAAAUAAGAUCUAAAAAUAGGGCUGGGUUUAUCCUUUGCUGGAUUUUUCAAUGAAAUUGAAGUCGAUGACAGUGAUUCAAAGG
rnacentral:lncRNA from 1 species